UGUGUUGCGUUUUGAAUCAUG
rnacentral:piRNA from 1 species